rnacentral:rRNA from 1 species
GAUGAACGCUGGCGGCGUGCCUAAUACAUGCAAGUCGAGCGAACGGACGCGGAGCUUGCUGCUCUGAUGUUAGCGGCGGACGGGUGAGAAACACGUGUAAAACCUACCUAUAAGACGGGGAUAUCUUCGGGAAACCGGCGCUAACACCGGAUGAUAUUUUGAACCGCAUGGGUGAAAAGUGAAAGACGGUCUUGCUGUCACGAAUAGAUGGAUCCGCGCUGCAUUAGCUGGUUGGUAAGGUAAAGGCUUACCAAGGGGACGAUGCAUAGCCGACCGGGGAGGCUGGUCGCCCGCCCUGGAGCUGAGCCACGCACCAGGCUCCUACGGGAGGCCGCAGUAGCGAAUCUUCCGCAGUGGGCGAAAGUCUUGCGGAGCGGCGCCGCGUGUGUGAUGAAGGUCCUCGGAUCGUAAUGCUCUGUUACUAGGGGAGAACCUAUGUGUAAGUAACUGUGCACAUCUUGACGGUACCUAAUCAGAAAGCCACGGCUAACUACGUG